UACAGAUGGUGCGAGCGUUAAUCGGAAUUACUGGGCGUAAAGCGUGCGUAGACGGUUAUUUAAGUCGGAUGUGAAAGCCCCGGGCUCAACCUGGGAAUUGCAUUCGAGACUGAAUAGCUAGGGUGCGGUAGAGGGAAGCGGAAUUUCCGGUGUAGCGGUGAAAUGCGUAGAUAUCGGAAGGAACAUCAGUGGCGAAAGCGGCUUCCUGGACCAGCACCGACGUUCAGGCACGAAAGCGUGGGGAGCAAACAGG
rnacentral:rRNA from 1 species